UGCCCGUCAGGAUUUAUAACCGGACAUAAACAGGAAGAACUAUGCAUCUGCCUGUGUCUUCUCGGGAUGCGUGUAUUCUGAUUACCAUGGUGCUAACGACAGCGCACGCCGUACCCUGUAGAGGACCCCAGUGCCUUGAGGACAUGUCAGUAUAUCAGGACCGAACUGAUGACGUCCUCAACAAAAUUUUAUUUUUCCUACGUACGGUUUUCAAUAACCCUCAUAAUAUCCCUGAUGCCAGAUUGUCCAGGGACAUGGUGCCCCGACUGGACAUUGCACCAGCCCCGGCGCACACCCAGCGGGACCUUUUGCCCGAGAAGAAGGGGCGCCCGUUCAGUCGCUUUCUUAGGAUAGGUCGAAGUUCUGGCGGGCACUACUCUCUGGACGCAGAAAAGAGGAAUUACAUACGGAUAGGAAAGAUUCCAUCAUCUGCCUUCAUGAGGCUCCGGGGAAGGACGAGGCAAGAUGCUGUGGCCGACACUCUACGUCGUCUCAACUCAAACACCGCUAUCAGAGUGGGCUAGUGGAUGAGGUUUUCCGUGCAUUUUGUACCCUAGAGUCCGUAUUGGUCACACUCUGGACAAACAAGACAUCAUGGCGACCAUUGUUUUAGCAGAUCCGAUUUUGGUGGCGCAAUUUAUGGACCCGUGCCAGUUGACCGGUGUAUUGAUUGGUCGUAGUUCAUGACUAAGGAGAUUUGUAGUGAGGCACUUUAUGGAAUACUGAUAACUGUGGGGAACUUGUUGGAGAAGAGAACGCUGGAUUGAGUAGAUGCAGCAGCUGAAAUAAGUGUGACUGACAGCUUCACGGUCACAUUAAGCGGAUUGGUUCUUGAAUGUCGCAUUACAUCAUUACAGUUAUUCCAUUCUUUAAAAUUGUGUGACAUGCAUGAAGGCGAUAGCCCAACGAUGCGGGCAAUCCGUACACGUGCCAAUACUGAUUGUCAUGUGUUGCUGAGUUAAUGGCGGCAGAGGUGACAAAGGUUAAGACUUCAGGGCAGAAUUUAAUGUUUUGUGUCUGAAGGAAUAUUUCUAGAUUAAUCAGAUAACACCUUUUGAAAUACUUCCUCAAACGAAGCCUGAGGUAAUUGGACUAAUCUAAAUUUCAUUAAAACGGGGCUUUAUAUUGCCGUUUACUGGGUGUCAUGUAAACAGGAGAAACUGCCAUUACGCCCCAACAUGUUUGUUACUUGAUUAUCUGUACAACUAGCAUUCAUUUCAUAAUCAUAUCAAUCCAGAUGAGAUCAGAUUAUUCCUACUUGUUAGGUUUUCAUAGUUGCAGGUUUACGUUCAUGAUGGUCAAAGACAAGUGUUGUUGUGUACAUGGAUUACGCUCUGGAUAUAGAUAAUCCUUCCAAGAGAACUGCCAUCAAAUUCAACCGUCGCAAAUAUUAAUCUGAGGAAUGUCAGAAUAUGGUGUCAAUAAAACGUAAUCGCAAUUAA